rnacentral:rRNA from 1 species
AGGGUUUGAUCAUGGCUCAGAGUGAACGCUGGCGGCGUGCUUAACACAUGCAAGUCGAACGAGAACGGGUCUUAGCUUGCUAAGAUUGUCAGCUAAGUGGCGCACGGGUGAGUAAUAUAUAGGUAACGUGCCUUCAAGAAGGGGAUAACAAUUGGAAACGAUUGCUAAAACCCUAUAUGCCUUUAAGUCUUAAGACUGCAAGGGAAAUAUUUAUAGCUUGAAGAUCGGCCUGUACAGUAUCAGUUAGUUGGUGAGGUAAUGGCUCACCAAGACAAUGACGCUUAACUGGUUUGAGAGGAUGAUCAGUCACACUGGAACUGAGACACGGUCCAGACUCCUACGGGAGGCAGCAGUGGGGAAUAUUGCUCAAUGGACGAAGGUCUGAUGCAGCAACGCCGCGUGGAGGAUGACACAUUUCGGUGCGUAAACUCCUUUUAUAUAGGAAGAUAAUGACGGUACUAUAUGAAUAAGCACCGGCUAACUCCGUGCCAGCAGCCGCGGUAAUACGGAGGGUGCAAGCGUUACUCGGAAUCACUGGGCGUAAAGAGAAUGUAGGCGGGUAGAUAAGUUUGAAGUGAAAUCCAAUGGCUCAACCAUUGAACUGCUUUGAAAACUGUUUACCUAGAAUAUGGGAGAGGUAGAUGGAAUUUCUGGUGUAGGGGUAAAAUCCGUAGAGAUCAGAAGGAAUACCGAUUGCGAAGGCGAUCUACUGGAACAUUAUUGACGCUGAGAUUCGAAAGCGUGGGGAGCAAACAGGAUUAGAUACCCUGGUAGUCCACGCCCUAAACGAUGCACACUAGUUGUUGCGAGGCUAGACCUUGCAGUAAUGCAGUUAACACAUUAAGUGUGCCGCCUGGGGAGUACGGUCGCAAGAUUAAAACUCAAAGGAAUAGACGGGGACCCGCACAAGCGGUGGAGCAUGUGGUUUAA